CCCACUGCCCAGACACGGCAUCUCCUCCUUCUUCAGAGAGUCUUGUCACAUGAGGGAGCACAUGCUCUUCCGUUAGAAUGGGAGCCCCACUGGAAAGGCCUCUGUCUCCAUGCCAAGCUGCUACAACACUACCGACCACAUUUCCUCUGCUGCAUGUGACAGCCCCGCGACUUAUUUCUGGAAUGACUGGAAGUGUCGCUACUCUCCAGCCUCAUGCAGAGCCUGGAACCCCAACACCAUGGCUCUCUCACGUCUGCUAACUGGUGUCUACCCUGCUCUCGUUAAUUUUGCACCAACAUGUAAUGAAGCACCUUUCCCCACAAGGGAAAUCUACCAAGUCCAAGUUCCUGACCUUAGCAUGCCCAAGCGUCUCUCCAUCAUCACUGACCUGGGGCCCUGGGGCGCAUGGUCCUCAGAGACCCCCUUCCCUGGCUGCCCAGGGAUGCAUGCUAAUCUUCCCAGCCCUCUGUCUGUGCUCCUGGUGGUUCUGGAGAUCGCUUCCUAUAAAUCCCGGAGCCAGA